GGCCGAAUAUCUAAGGUUUCCAGAGUAAAGCUGAUCUGCUCUGGGUAAGUCGGGGCCUAAGGAGAGGUCGAAAGACGUAUCCGAUGGACAACAGGUUUAGAUUCCUGUACCACAUAUAAACAGAACUGUGGGGACGCAUGUGGAAAGCAUAAGCCGGGAAUGGAAAUACCGGUACAAACGGAAGAGGUGUCAGGCUGGCAAAUCCGCCUGGCAAGCCAAAGACGUGAUGUGGAGCGAAAUAAAAGUAGCGAAGUAUGUGAGCCAUGUGCCGAGAAAAGCCGCUAUUGUUUUAUAUGUGCCCGUACCGUAAACCGACACAGGUGGAUGAGGAGAGAAUCCUAAGGCCGACGGAAGAAGCAUUGUUAAGGAACUCGGCAAAAUGACCCCGUAACUUCGGGAGAAGGGGUGCCACAGAGAUGUGGCCGCAGAGAAUAGGCUCAAGCAACUGUUUAGCAAAAACACAGGUCUAUGCGAAACCGUAAGGUGAAGUAUAUGGGCUGACGCCUGCCCGGUGCUGGAAGGUUAAGAGGAGAGGUUAGCGCAAGCGAAGCUUUGAAUUUAAGCCCCAGUAAACGGCGGCCGUAACUAUAACGGUCCUAAGGUAGCGAAAUUCCUUGUCGGGUAAGUUCCGACCCGCACGAAAGGCGUAAUGAUUUGAGCACUGUCUCGACAAUGCAUCCGGUGAAAUUGAAGUACCAGUGAAGAUGCUGGUUACCCGCGCCAGGACGGAAAGACCCCAUGGAGCUUUACUCCAGUUUGGUACUGGGAUUCGGUACUGCAUGUACAGGAUAGGUGGGAGACGAAGAAGUUAGGACGCCAGUCUUAACGGAGUCGCUGUUGGGAUACCACCCUUGCAGUAUUGGGUUUCUAACCAGCCGCUGUGAACCAGCGGUGGGACAAUGCCAGGCGGGGAGUUUGACUGGGGCGGUCGCCUCCGAAAGGGUAUCGGAGGCGCUCAAAGGUUCCCUCAGAAUGGUCGGAAACCAUUUAAAGAGUGCAAAGGCAGAAGGGAGCUUGACUGCGACACCGACGGGUGGAGCAGGUACGAAAGUAGGACUUAGUGAUCC
rnacentral:rRNA from 1 species